ACUGUAAAACAAAAGUUGAAUAAAGAUGAAACUUUUUUUUUUAAACAAAAAAAUAAGAGCUUUUUGGGGAAAAUCUACGUGAAGUAAUAAUAACAAAAGAGCUUUUUAUUAAGCCGCAACAACAAGCCUGCCAGAGAAACUAUGAUUAGUGUGUUGUUUGGUGUAGAGGAGGAAGACGAGGAAUAUAAGCUGCCCGUAACGGUGCUGCUGCCCGAACUGACCGGUCAAAAAAACGGGUUCGGGGGAGAGAAGAGAUGGUUGAAAGUGACAUCGCUUUGGGUUUGGGGUAAAGUAGUUGAAAGCUCUUAAGGCUAUGCACCCGUUUCUCCUGGUCAAACCUCUCUCUGUUGGGUCCCUUUUUUCUUUAAGUAGAAAAACCUUUUCUAAAUUUUUAAUGCAAGUAAGAUUCGUAA